rnacentral:rRNA from 1 species
ACGGCUCAGUAACACGUGGAUAACCUGCCCAAGAGUCCGGGAUACCCCCGGGAAACUGGGGUUAAGACCGGAUGGGCCACUACGUCUGGAAUGUGUGGUGGUUUAAACGCGAGGCUUUUGGAUGGGUCUGCGGCGGAUUAGGUGGACGCCGGUGUAACGUACCGGCGUGCCGGUCAUCCGUACGGGUUGUGGGAGCAAGAGCCCGGAGAUGGAUUCUGAGACACGAAUCCAGGCCCUACGGGGCGCAGCAGGCGCGAAAACUCUACAAUGCAGGCAACUGCGAUAGGGGGACAUCGAGUGGCACCCACCUUGGGUGCCUGUCCCACCGUCUAAAAAACGGUGGUUAGCAAGGGCCGGGUAAGACCGGUGCCAGCCGCCGCGGUAAUACCGGCGGCUCGAGUGGUGGCCGAUAUUAUUGAGUCUAAAGGGUCCGUAGCCGGCUCCGCAAGUCCCCUGGGAAAUCCAGCGGCCUAACCGUUGGUCGUCCAUGGGAUACUACGUUGCUUGGGACUGGGAGAGGUGGGAGGUACUCGGGGGGUAGGGGUGAAAUCCUGUAAUCCUCCGGGGACCACCGGUGGCGAAGGCGUCCCACCAGAACAGGUCCGACGGUGAGGGACGAAAGCUAGGGGCACGAACCGGAUUAGAUACCCGGGUAGUCCUAGCCGUAAACGAUGCCCGCUAGGUGUCACGGCGGUCGUGAAUCGCCGUGGUGCCGUAGGGAAGCCGCGAAGCGGGCCACUUGGGAAGUACGGCCGCAAGGCUGAAACUUAAAGGAAUUGGCGGGGGAGCAC